rnacentral:rRNA from 1 species
GACGAACGCUGGCGGCGUGCCUAAUACAUGCAAGUAGAACGCUGAAGCUUGGUGCUUGCACCGAGCGGAUGAGUUGCGAACGGGUGAGUAACGCGUAGGUAACCUGCCUGGUAGCGGGGGAUAACUAUUGGAAACGAUAGCUAAUACCGCAUGAUAUUGAUUAUUGCAUGAUAGUCAAUUAAAAGGUGCAAUUGCAUCACUACCAGAUGGACCUGCGUUGUAUUAGCUAGUUGGUGAGGUAACGGCUCACCAAGGCAACGAUACAUAGCCGACCUGAGAGGGUGAUCGGCCACACUGGGACUGAGACACGGCCCAGACUCCACGGGAGGCAGCAGUAGGGAAUCUUCGGCAAUGGACGGAAGUCUGACCGAGCAACGCCGCGUGAGUGAAGAAGGUUUUCGGAUCGUAAAGCUCUGUUGUAAGAGAAGAACGAGUGUGAGAGUGGAAAGUUCACACUG